ensembl:misc_RNA
GCAUCCGCGGCUGAGCCAAGCUGUUGUUUUAAAGAGCAAUAAAAAUGAAUUAUGACUAAACGCCUUCUAACUUAAUGCUUUCGGACGGGGAUCCCCGGCAAAUACGUAAGAGGAUUUUUAUUUGUGCAUGUGUUCCUGCAAUUGAUCUCUUUGAUGACAUUCUCAUUCAUAGAAAGCGUUUGAUUUAUGAGCUUAGAACGAAUCGCAUCCAGU